rnacentral:rRNA from 1 species
AACGAACGCUGGCGGCAUGCCUAACACAUGCAAGUCGAACGAGACCUUCGGGUCUAGUGGCGCACGGGUGCGUAACGCGUGGGAAUCUGCCCUUGGGUUCGGAAUAACAGUUAGAAAUGACUGCUAAUACCGGAUGAUGACUUCGGUCCAAAGAUUUAUCGCCCAGGGAUGAGCCCGCGUCGGAUUAGUUAGUUGGUGAGGUAAAGGCUCACCAAGGCGACGAUCCGUAGCUGGUCUGAGAGGAUGAUCAGCCACACUGGGACUGAGACACGGCCCAGACUCCUACGGGAGGCAGCAGUGGGGAAUAUUGGACAAUGGGCGAAAGCCUGAUCCAGCAAUGCCGCGUGAGUGAUGAAGGCCUUAGGGUUGUAAAGCUCUUUUACCCGGGAUGAUAAUGACAGUACCGGGAGAAUAAGCCCCGGCUAACUCCGUGCCAGCCGCCGCGGUAA